rnacentral:lncRNA from 1 species
AGUUCUUCCAAGACUUUACCAGCUUGUGCACAUAAAAGGGGCCACACUAGUAGCAUGAUACGCACGUCACUCACUCCUCUAACUAGCAGACUGCUGUGAUUUCUUCAGUCUUCCCUAAUUCUAUUAGAGGAGUUCCAGGAAGUUUUCACUUGAACUCACAAAUUGCCAUCUUUGCUGUCACCUGGCACUGACCGUAUUCUAUUUUGGAUUAGGUGUUGACUCCUCCAAAACUGUACAUCAUUCUUAUGCCAAAAUAGCCCUGUAUUUUCACAAAUCAUGUGCAACCAAACAGAAACAAGAUAAGGUCCCUGUAUUGCCCAGGUCACCCUUUCCCACAAGGGCAUGAAAGGAAGUGGCUUGGGAAUUCUCAUAGAAUCCCUUGUAAACUACAGCUUCUUCCUUUCCUGCUUACAGCCCCUGUCUUCACAGAGCUGAAGUGAUUUGAACAGUAUUAAACAGAUAUUUUCUUUAAAGUUAUCUUUUGCUUGCAAGGAUACGAGUGCUUUGGUGACAAGUGGUCUGUUUAUCUUUUAAAUCUAGUCUGGUCAUGUGUCAGGUAAAUUAUUUCAUUUUUCUUAACUGAUUUGAGAGAAACUGUAGAAAAACCAACACCAGAAAGAUUUUUGAGAGGAUUUACUACAAAGUAAUGAAAUCAUUUGACUAUGAUAGGCUCUUAAUAGAGUAAAAUGGUUACUUUCUGGAUUUUUUUCCCUAAAGUCCAUGGACCGGUUUUAGAGACUAGUCUUUGAAUAGAGACCAAGCUGCUCUUCCCAGGACCCUCCUUCACCUCCGUCUAAUACAGAGUGAAAUCCUGCACGGGCUCCUUCCUGCCCCUUCAGUCCCAACCUCUCAAGACAGAUGCAAAGUUGGUGCAGAGUUCUGUUGACUCAUUCUAACUGUCCAAGAAAGUCCAAAAUGCAGCAGUAAACAGAGGCUAGGGCAUAGCUGGAAACUUUAUUUUGUCUUUGUAUAUACACAACUUUUGAUCUUUCCUAGUUUUAGUAUCUUUAGAAGAAAGAAUCAGGUUUUGCUCAUCACUGUAACUCAAAGGAUUCCUUGCACGUAGUACACACUUGAAAAAUGGUUAUUCUCACUUGACUCCUUUUGGGCAUAAUAUGGUCACUAAAUCCAAUAAUCUUAAAUUAAUCAUUACCAAGUGUAUUUUAUAUUUAACAUCAAAUUACUUAAGAAGGCAUAUAAACUCAUAAAUCUAAAAUAUAAAAAUGAUUAGUUUUUGUUAUAUAAUAAUUUUCCUACUCUUUAAUGAACUGUAUGAUGUUGUGUAAAUACCACCUUGAAAGCAGAUACUGAAAGCACUUGGAUUAUGUUAUGAGGCCACCUGAUAGAAAAAUAAUUAUAUUAGCAUAACUCACAUGAUAUUGGACAAGGAAUGAUUAAACCAUCAGUUUUCUGGAGCUACUUCUGAGCUACUGCUGCUAUAAGGAUACAAAGGAAAUAUAACAGUGGCUGUAUUUUGCACAAUUGGGGAUUCAUUUUUGGAGAAAACUUUUCCAGGCAAAUUAGAUUUAAAAUAGCUUUUGCAUCAGAAAUAAUAAACCUAAAAGAGAAUGUAGCCAACAAAGGAGACAGACUUAGAAUUCUCAGCAAAAGAGAAAGCUGAAGCCUCUUAGUCUUGGCAACAUUUUGCGGAAUAUAUUGGAAGGAAGCAAAACUUCCAGCAGGUAACAAAACAUACAGUGUUUGCACUUAAAGUAGGUGCUUUGAGACUAGGCAUAAACAGAACUUUGAGUCAGAGAUACCCUGAAUCAACAAGUAUUCAUCCCAAGAAAUAUGUAAAGUGGACCAAAGUAUCUUCAUGCACAGGAAGAUUCUCCCAACUUCAAUGAAAAUAUCCAUAGCCAGUCUGGUCACAUGUUACCCUCUUCCACUUAGAAGAGUAAUUGGAGAAUGGUUUCAGAAAAUCUAGCAUGCAUUUUAAAGCAUUCCAAAUUGUAAACUACAUAUAUUUCUCACUAUAGUGGAUGAGUUCAUUUUUCUUAAUCCUUUUGUUGUCUGCAUAAAGACCUAAGGUUAUGAACAUCUCCUGUUAUUAUUAUAAAUAUAUAACAGCCUCGAUGGAACUAUAGAAAUUUCUAGAGUCAAUAUUAGGGUGGAUGGAGAUAAACAUUGCCUCUUAAAGAAUUCUAUCUGAAUGAGACUUUUUUCUUUCUUAAUGGGACAUAUUUUAAAUAAAUUAAGGUAAAAAAAAUGUUUUACAGAGUCUGAAGAAGCAGCAAAUGUAAAAUUAUUCCAUAAAGCCAAAAAGAAAAGUUACAUAAGUUGUGACCCAGAGGCAGUGUGCUGUGGAGAAAGAGAGUCUGAGAGGGAGGAAAGAAAAUGAGCUCACCUCUAACCAGUUCUCUGGCCUUAGUUAAAUUCCUAAAGCCAGUGCGAGUCCUAGUUUUCCCCUAUUAGGUCAACCACUUUGAGGUUGUAAAGCCCUGUUUUCACCUUAAAAGCUAUACUGCAGAACUUGCUGGUUGUCAUUGGCACCUGGGGGCCACUGCUUCCCCAUUCUUUGGACUGAGGAAUAUGCGCAGAAGACCCACACCUUUUGUCAGAACUGAGCUAAUUUGUAAGCUGCUUUUGACUAAUACCAUCCUACCUCAAUCCCCCCCCUCUGAGCACCACCCCACAUGAGGUUAAACAAAACAAGGUAAGAUGAGCCUUUAAAGGUAAAACAAAACGUUAGUGUCUUCAUAUAGCACCUUUGAGGCUUUAGUUGGUCUCCUGUUGCCUGAUUUGAAAUUGUUAAAAAAUGUUGCACGUACAAACACACUGGGUACACUUUAAAAAUAACAUGUAUUGAGAUGUUGACUCAUAAGAAUGUGAAAUUAGUAGUGGUUUCCAAAACGGGUAAACAGUUACCUUAUUUUUUUGCUUUUACAUUAAAAUGCAUUCAGCUGUGUGCUAUGUAAAAAAAGUUUUUUUUUUUUCCUAACAUUUAAGACUUGCUUUUAUUUUCCCCAAAAGCAGACCCUGGAUAGUGAUUUAUCUGUAAAACUAAAAGUCAGUCAUCUGGAUAUGUUAAACGUGUCUAUGAAUAUUUAAAUUUUGAGCCUUGCAAUUAAAAAAAUUUGAAGUUUUUGAUAUAGAAAUAUAGAAUCAAUAGCACAUCUGAGGAAGAAGGGACUAAAAGGUGAUUUAAUGUGUAUAUUUGAUAUUAUAAAUGAGAGAACACAGGUCAAGGAAAAAAUAUUCUGAUGUUCUCUCUAAAAGUAUUUUUAUCCGAAAUGCCUCAAAGAUAUUUGGCUUACCAAAAGCCUUUUAACUUACCAAAUGUUUAAAAAAAAUUUAAUAUAAUAAUUGCAGUUAUUUCAAAGAACAUUUGUUACAUAACUUCAACUAAUUGAAACUAUUGAAAAUCAGUAAUUUUUUAAAAACUGCAGUCAAAAGGUACAAACUUCCAGUUAGAAGUAAGUCCUUGGGAUUUAAUAUACAGAAUGGUGGCUGCAAUUUAUAAUACUGUAUUGCAUACUUGAAAUUUCCUAACAGAGUAGAUCUUGAAAGUUCUCAACACACAAAAAAAUAUGUAACUAUGUAUGGUGGCUGAUUGAUGUUAGACAUAUUAUGGUGAUCAUUUCACAAUAUAUACAGAUACCGAAUCAUUAUGUUUUACAUUGGAAAUGAAUAUAAAUAUGUCAAUUAUAACUCAAUAAAAAAGUAGUACAAAAGAACUUUGAUGAACCAAAUGAGCUCAUUAAAUACUGACACUAAACCUUCUUCCUCAGUCCCUCCCUCAAAAAUAUUUACAGUAAUUGCAGGCCCAGUCAAUAAUCUCACUUCAAUUUUUGCAAUCACAUCAAAUUCAAAAUAACAAAAAAUAAUUAAGCACAUACUAUAAAAAGACAUGCAAUGAGUGUAUAGAGGUGAUUAGAAAACAAACAGCUAUUGCCCCUGCUUUCAUGGAGGAGUUGAAAGUAUCUGAAGGAGCAAGGUCACUGGCAAAAUAAAAGAGAAAAGAAAUUGGAGAAAAGUAGAUGCAAGGUCCCAAGUGGCAUCAUUUUCUUGGCUCUUAGCUCAAUGUAGCACUGCUCUGUAUGUGUCAGGAAUUCCUGAGCACAGUUUCCAAUACAAUGUUUUGUAGUAUUUGGCAUUGUAAAUUAUGGAUUUGGCCAUCAAGAAAAUACUCAGUGAACUCUAUCUUCUGAAAAGGCAGAAAAGUGUGGGCAUGUGGUAGACAUGUCUAACAGGGGUCUUAUCUUGAGGAAGGUCUGAGUCUAAAGAUAGAGGUUCAAGGAUAUUUGAUCAUGUCUGGAGAAUACUAGAGGGAUCCCACAGUGUCAGCACACCAAAGGGGACCUCAUGUAAGGGAGCUCUAAAGAGAGAUGUUUCCAGAUACAACACAUUGACCCAAUAAUAAGCCUCACAUGACAAUUCAGGUAUCAACUCUCAUGUGACUUAUGUGCAUAUUCCAUUGCUCAGUGCAAGCCAUAGAGCAGUAGCUAACUUCAAGUGGUGUGAAAAUACAACAUACCUUAUGCCCAGAAAAACAAGAAUCAGAAAUAUUGGUGAACAUAUGUACUUUGCCAGAUAAUCCCAAGUGUUAGUAUAGUGUAGAUACAGAUAGAAAUCCUCAUGUGGUGGUGGGAAUAUAGACCAGUCCUGCCAUUCUGGAGGACAGCUUGGAAGCGCAAACAAAUUAAGUUUGCCCAACAGUUCUUCUUCUAGGCAUGAAACUCAUAAACAAAUCCUCAUGAAGAACUGCAAGGGAACAUGAUCCAUCCUUUAAAUUAUUUGAGCAUUAUUUGAGAUAGUGAUGAGUUAGUUACAAUUGAGAUGUACAUAUGGCAAAUGUGGUUAACGAAUCUGACUAGGAACCACAAGGUUGUGGGUUCAAUCCCUGGCCUCACUCAGUGGAUUAAGGAUCUGGCAUUGCCGUGAGCUGUGGUGUAGGUCACAGACGCAGCUCGGAUCCCACAUUGCUAUGACUCUGGGGUAGACUGGUAGCUGCAGCUCCGAUUGGACCCCUAGCCUGGGAACCUCCAUAUGCCACAGGUGUGGCCCUAGAAAAGAGACAGAAAAAAAAAAAAAGGUUCAUCAUUAACACUAAGGUGGAAUAAAGAAGAGGAAGCUUGGAGAAAAAUAAUAUAAUUUCAGCUUUUGAAAAAAAAAUCAUGAGUACUGAGGCUCAGAACAUUCAUAAAUUAAGAAAAUAAUUGCAAACACUAAUAUUCUGAAAUGAUGACGUUGAUUCCUUGGAUACUCUCUGCUGACACAGAUUCUAAUACCAGAAAGUUGGGGAAAAAUGUCUUCAAUUUGCCAAAUGUGUAAUUACACAUCUAAAUAAAUAUGUCAUAUAUGCCUCUACAAAUUCAGUAUUACAGGCUCUAAUUUAUAUAUGAAGAGUAGUGGAGCAACAGAAGGAGAAAUUGAACAGAAGACAAGUAUUUCAUAAUAGGUCAAUAAUUGGAUGUCCUUUGGCAAAGAAUUUUGCUGCUCACCUUCAAUAUACUGGGCUAUAAAAUGGAAUCAGUUAUACUUACUAUAUCUCACAGAGUUGUUAACUACUUAAGCAAAAUCACAUAUUUUAAGAUUCUUACUCAGUGGAAAUGUAAGAUAAAGCAUUACUUGUUCAAGUUCCCCUUGUGGCUCAGCAGUGAUGAACCUGACUAGUAUCCAGGAGGAUGUGGGUUUGAUCCCUGGCCUCACUCAGUGGGUUAGGAUCUGGCAGUGCCACGGGCUACAGUAUGGGUCACAGACACGGCUCGGAUCCUGCGUUGCUGUGGCUAGGCUGGCAGUUACAGCUCGGAUUCGACCCCUAGCCUGGAAACUUCC